rnacentral:tRNA from 5 species
GGGUGGUUAGCUCAGUUGGUUUAAGAGCGCUUCAGUGACAUUGAAGAGGUCAGAGGUUCGAAUCCUCUACCACCCA